rnacentral:rRNA from 1 species
AGCGAACGCUGGCGGCGUGGAUAAGACAUGCAAGUCGAACGGGAAUUACCGGGUAGCAAUAUUCGGUGGUUCUAGUGGCGAAAGGGUGCGUAACACGUAGCUGACCUACCUCGAAGCGGGGGAUAGCUCGACGAAAGUCGAAUUAAUACCGCAUGUGGUCGAGAGACUAAAGUUGGGGAUCGCAAGACCUGACACUUCGAGCUGGGGCUGCGGCCUAUCAGGUAGUUGGCGGGGUAAUGGCCCACCAAGCCGAAGACGGGUAGCUGGUCUGAGAGGACGACCAGCCACACUGGAACUGAGACACGGUCCAGACACCUACGGGUGGCAGCAGUCGAGGAUUUUUCUCAAUGGGGGAAACCCUGAAGGAGCGACGCCGCGUGAGGGAUGAAGGUCUUCGGAUUGUAAACCUCUGUCAUCCGGGAGCAAUGCUGUUCACCUAACACGUGAGCAGUUGAUAGUACCGGAAGAGGAAGCCGUGGCUAACUCUGUGCCAGCCGCCGCGGUAACAC